rnacentral:rRNA from 1 species
UACGGAGGGUGCGAGCGUUAAUCGGAAUCACUGGGCGUAAAGCGCACGUAGGCGGCUUUUCAAGUCAGGGGUGAAAUCCCACGGCCCAACCGUGGAACUGCCUUUGAAACUGUAGAGCUUGAGUGUCGGAGAGGGUGGCGGAAUUCCAGGUGUAGGAGUGAAAUCCGUAGAUAUCUGGAGGAACACCGGUGGCGAAGGCGGCCACCUGGACGACAACUGACGCUGAGGUGCGAAAGCGUGGGUAGCAAACAGG